GACGAACGCUGGCGGCGUGCUUAACACAUGCAAGUCAAGGGGGCCCGCAAGGGUAACCGGCGAACGGGUGCGUAACACGUGAGCAAUCUGCCUAGAUGUGGGGGAUAGCCGGCCCAACGGCCGGGUAAUACCGCAUACGCUCGUCGACUGGCAUCAGUUGACGAGGAAACUUUCGAGGCAUCUAGAGGAGCUCGCGGCCUAUCAGCUAGUUGGUGGGGUAACGGCCUACCAAGGCGGUGACGGGUAGCUGGU
rnacentral:rRNA from 1 species